GGAGGCUGCAGCGAAAAGGCAGCUGAGGAUUAGGAAACCAAAUCUUAGGCUGCUUCUGCAAGGAUCGUGGAGGAAAGUCAGCAAUUGCGAUGUGAUAAGAAGGGCACAUGCCACUAAAGCCUUGAAUAACAGCUGCCAACUGGCAACUCGAGCCAAGGCCCUGAGGCAACUGGGGAUGCUCAUUCUAGCAGAGGUAUUAAGAAUCUGACUCUGGAUCAUAUAGGAUAAAGAGAGCCAAAAUGGUCUGCCUAGAAAUGGGUUGGGUGGGGGGUGAGCUGCGUAUCCCGUUUCCCAGGCUGGAAUACAAAUAAUUCUUUUACCUGGAUUUGCCACCCAUGGAAAACUCUGGCAGCCCGUAACUCAACGGUGUAGCGCAACCAAGCCUAGGCGGGCUCGCUGGGGCAUCGGGGACUUAGCAGUGCAAUUUGCCAAUGUCAUUUAAUGCUUCAAAGCGGAGGAGGAGAGAGAAGUGGACAGAGCACUGAAUUCAGCGGCCUUUGUCACCAGGUCACGAAAUGGAGACAGCAACUAGAGGAAAGGCUACUCUCAAUUUGAUUCUGACAAACAGCAAGGAGCUGGCUGAGAAUGUGAACAUGCAAGGCAGCUUGGGUAAAAGUGAUCACGAAACGAUAGAACUCAUGAUACUGAAGAAUGGGAGGAGGGAAAACAUCAGAAUAAAGACAAUGAGCUUCAAGAAGGCAGAGUUUAGCCAACGCAGCAAAUUGGUAGGUAAAAUCCCAUCGGAAGCAAGUGGAGAACCGGUGUUAACAGAAUGACCUUGUGUAUGAAGAAGGGCCGUGAUGGGCAUGUGUCUGGAAGUUGGUCUUCAAUUCUGAAAAGGAUUCUAUAAGUAGCAUGCAGUGUUGAUGUAGCCAUGUAGGUCCCAGGAUGUUAGCGAGACACGAUGGGUUUAUUGGACUCUGCUGGUGAGAGAGACAAGCUUUCGAGCGGACACAGAGCUCUUCUUCAGCUUAGUUAAGUCUCACAGUUAGAUUUAAGAGAGGGAAGCAGGAUAAUCCCUAACACGAACAGAUUUUUUUCCCCACGAACUCUCUGAUUGUUUUAAAUUUUUAAACGUUGGCAGUGUUGCCAACUCUCGCAAGUUUAGCCUGAGUCUCACAAUAUUUGGUGUGUUUCUUAGAAACCCAGCUCCUGGAAUCAUGUGAAUAUAUGAGAAUCUCAGCUUUUGUUUACCAAAAAAUUGUCUGUUUCUCGCUUUCACUGUUGGGGAAAAAAAGAUUGAAACUGUGACCCAAGCGCUCCCUAAAAGUUAAAAAUCAGAAGGUAAAUAAAAACCUCAACAUUAUUUUAAAAAAAACUCAUGAUUUUUGAGCUAAUCUCUUGGUGUUUGUGGACCUGACUCAUGACUUAUAUAGCAAUACCGCAUUUGCUUAAUUAGAUUGUAAGUUCUCUGGGGCAGGGACUGUUUACAGUGUGUUUUUAGGGACUGCUCACCGUGCACCGUGUUUGUACAGCACUAGCCUAGCACAAUGGGACCCCAAUUCGUGGUUUAUCUCUAGCCCAGUGGUUCCCAAACUUUAACAGCCCGCGAACCCCUUUCGCUAAAUUGUGAAAUCUCGUGAACCCCCUCCUAAAAAU